GGUCCCAUCGUCUAGCGGUCAGGACGCCGGCCUCUCACGCCGGAAACCGGGGUUCAAUUCCCCGUGGGAUCACCA
rnacentral:tRNA from 2 species